GGCAACUGCUCCAGAGAAACGAUUGAUUCGAAAUUUGUUUAAUUUUCAAUAAACAUUGCAGUAAAUUGAUUGCUCGCGCCAUAAAUUAUAAUUUUCCAAAAUAUCUACGCAGUGCGCGAUAACUGCAUCAGUACAGAGCGCCUCCGAGUUUCGCCGCGUGGUGCGCGCGUGUUGCUCUAGUCAAAUAUAAAUUUCCGACUCGCGCGUAUCUCUACGUACAACAUGGACGCGCGAUCUUGACCAGGUUAGUCGCGCCGCGUAGCACGGGAUAUCGUGUGCCCCUUGAACCCAAUAUACAAGAGCGAAGCGCCUUGGUCCUCCUCGAGGAAGCGGAAGGUCCCGGAGUCCAGUUCCAUGAAGUUUGCCAGGAGGCAGUCGGAUGGUGAAAGAGGUUGGAUCGGAAAUAGGAGGGCCACGGCUGUAUCUCUGCGCGUCGUUGCAUCGCUGCAUCACCUUUUGCUCAUCCGAACCAUACCGUCACGGGAGCUUCUAGGGUUUCAAGCACUGCUCGCUCGUCGGUACGGAACGGAACAGAAUUAGAGAGCUUCGGCUUCUCUUCCUUGUCCUCUUGAAAUCCUUCUGCUCCGUGUUUCGUGUCCCACGCGGUACAGUGUGACACGUGCACGUGCAAAGGGGAUGCACUGUUCAGCGUAGCGCCAAGGCCCACCGCGAACCGAUGCGCCACGAUAGACUUUCAAAGACGAGCAAAAUAUACACGAAGCUUCGCGGGAGAAGCGUCUCAAGAAUUGGACAGCACUUUUGUGACGUCAGCGACGUGCACGAUCAAACUUCAUCAAGGUCGCGUCCGACGGUCCGAGUGUCCUUGGUCUUCGAACGAGUGAAGGGAGAAAAGAAAGAGGACGAUGCCAAGAGUAUCCGGUGCCGUGUCGCUGCUCUCGGGUGCCCUGGGACUCGCUGGUCCGGUCCUCAGCGAAAGCGGCGAGGUAGUCGGGGGUCUGCUGUUGGUAUCCCUGGAAGAUACCACGGACGAGACAUUGAUGGGUGGUG